AUGGUUAAUUUUGCAUAUAAUUACUUGACCAAAUGGUAUAUAUAAACAUCUGAAAAUGAAGUUAUGUAAUUGAAAUUCAGUCAGUCCAAACAAACAGGAAUCCACAAAAUGCUGUUGUUUGUUGCUGUUCUAUUCGUUGUGGUUGUCAACAGUGCUGUUAACGGUAUUAUGUACGAAAGCAAAGGAAUCCUUGUUGAUGAGGUUCAUACUCAACAACUGGUAGAUGAUGUUGAUACUCUAAAGCAGACUGUCCAAGGACAACAUAACCAGAUUUCAUCGCUGUUGUCUAUGAUAUC